GGGCCCAUAGCUCAGGUGGUAGAGCUACCGGCUCAUAACCGGUUGGUUCCAGGUUCGAGUCCUGGUGGGCCCA
rnacentral:tRNA from 1 species